GGUUCGGUGGUGUAGUUGGUUAUCACACCAGUCUAACAUGUCUCAUGGUCCCACUGGUGGUCCCCGGUUCGAGCCCGGGCCGAAUCA
rnacentral:tRNA from 1 species